rnacentral:rRNA from 1 species
UACGGGGGGAGCAAGCGUUGUUCGGAUUUACUGGGCGUAAAGGGCGCGUAGGCGGCCACCGCAGGUCGGUUGUGAAAUCUCCGGGCUUAACCCGGAAAGGUCAACCGAUACUGCGGGGCUAGAGUGCAGAAGGGGCAACUGGAAUUCUCGGUGUAGCGGUGAAAUGCGUAGAUAUCGAGAGGAACACCUGCGGCGAAGGCGGGUUGCUGGGCUGACACUGACGCUGAGGCGCGAAAGCUAGGGGAGCGAACGGG